rnacentral:rRNA from 1 species
UGGGGAAUUUUGGACAAUGGGGGAAACCCUGAUCCAGCCAUCCCGCGUGUGCGAUGAAGGCCUUCGGGUUGUAAAGCACUUUUGGCAGGAAAGAAACGUCAUGGGUUAAUACCCCGUGAAACUGACGGUACCUGCAGAAUAAGCACCGGCUAACUACGUGCCAGCAGCCGCGGUAAUACGUAGGGUGCAAGCGUUAAUCGGAAUUACUGGGCGUAAAGCGUGCGCAGGCGGUUCGGAAAGAAAGAUGUGAAAUCCCAGAGCUCAACUUUGGAACUGCAUUUUUAACUGCCGGGCUAGAGUGUGUCGGAGGGAGGUGGAAUUCCGCGUGUAGCAGUGAAAUGCGUAGAUAUGCGGAGGAACACCGAUGGCGAAGGCAGCCUCCUGGGAUAACACUGACGCUCAUGCACGAAAGCGUGGGGAGCAAACAGG